rnacentral:rRNA from 1 species
GAUGAACGCUGGCGGCGUGCCUAAUACAUGCAAGUCGAGCGAAGCGGGGACGGGUGAGUAACACGUGGAUAACCUCCUAUAAGACUGGGAUAAAUUCGGGAAACCGGAGCUAAACCCGACACUGAUACAUGGAUCCGCUGUGUAUUAGCUAGUUGGUACGGUAACGGCUUACCAAGGCAACGAUGCAUAGCCGACCUGAGAGGGUGAUCAGCCACACUGGAACUGAGACACGGUCCAGACUCCUACGGGAGGCAGCAGUGGGGAAUCUUCCGCAAUGGGCGAAAGCCUGACAGAGCAACGCCGCGUGGGUGAUGAAGGUCUUCGGAUCGUAAAGCUCUGUUAUUAGGGAAGCGGUACCUACUCAAGAAGCCACGGCUAACUACGUGCCAGCAGCCGCGGUAAUUC